rnacentral:rRNA from 1 species
AGAAAACCGGGGCUAAUACCGGACAACAUUUUGAACCGCAUGGUUCGAAAUUGAAAGGCGGCUUCGGCUGUCACUUAUGGAUGGACCCGCGUCGCUUAUCUAGUUGGUGAGGUAACGGCUCACCAAGGCAACGAUGCGUAGCCGACCUGAGAGGGUGAUCGGCCACACUGGGACUGAGACACGGCCCAGACUCCUACGGGAGGCAGCAAUAAGGAAUCUUCCGUAAUGGACGAAAGUCUGACGGAGCAACGCCACGUGAGUGAUGAAUGCUUUCGGGUCGUAAAACUCUGUUGUUAUGGAAGAACAAGUGCUUUUGAAUAACCUGGCACCUUGAUGGUACCUAACCAGUAAGCCACGGUUAACUACUUGUCACCAUCCGCGGUAAUACGUAGGUGGCAAGCGUUAUCCGGAAGUAUUGGGCGUAAAGCGCGCUCAGGUGGUUUCUUAGUCUGAUGUGAAAGCCCCACGG